UCUCUGUUAGUAUAUCGGUUAGUACACGCGCCUGUCACGGCCACUCGUCCGCUGAACGCGCGAAAGCGGGGUUCGACUCCCCGACAGAGAG